rnacentral:rRNA from 1 species
UACGUAGGGGGCUGGCGUUGUCCGGAAUCAUUGGGCGUAAAGCGCGUGUAGGCGGCCCGGUAAGUCCGCUGUGAAAGUCCAGGGCUCAACCCUGGGAUGCCGGUGGAUACUGUCGGGCUCGAGUCCGGAAGAGGCGAGUGGAAUUCCUGGUGUAGCGGUGAAAUGCGCAGAUAUCAGGAGGAACACCAAUGGCGAAGGCAGCUCGCUGGGACGUGACUGACGCUGAGACGCGAAAGCGUGGGGAGCAAACAGG